rnacentral:rRNA from 1 species
UACGUAGGGAGCGAGCGUUGUCCGGAAUCAUUGGGCGUAAGCGCGCGUAGGCGGCCCGAUAAGUCCGCUGUAAAAGUCAACGGCUCAACUGUUGAAAGCCGGUGGAUACUGUCGGGCUAGAGUACGGAAGAGGCAAGUGGAAUUCCUGGUGUAGCGGUGGAAUGCGCAGAUAAUCAGGAGGAACACCCAUAGCGAAGGCAGCUUGCUGGGACGUUAGCUGACGCUAAGGCGCGAAAGCGUGGGGAGCGAACAGG